GAUGAACGCUAGCGGCAGGCUUAAUACAUGCAAGUCAAGGGGUCAGCAAUGACACCGGCGGACGGGUGAGUAACGCGUACACAACGUACCUUUAACUGGGGGAUAGCAUUUGGAAACGAGUGGUAAUACCGCAUGUGGUUGUAGGGAGGCAUCUUUUGCAACUAAAACUCAGGUGGUUAAAGAUCGGUGUGCGUCCGAUUAGCUUGUUGGUGAGGUAAUGGCUCACCAAGGCGACGAUCGGUAGGGGCGUGAGAGCGUGAACCCCCACACGGGUACUGAGACACGGACCCGACUCCUACGGGAGGCAGCAGUAAGGAAUAUUGGUCAAUGGAGGCAACUCUGAACCAGCCAUGCCGCGUGAAGGAAGAAGGCGCUAUGCGUUGUAAACUUCUUUUGGGUGGGAAGAAAAUGGUCAAUUUAUUGGCAACUGACGGUACCAUCAGAAUAAGCACCGGCUAACUCCGUGCCAGCAGCCGCGGUAAU
rnacentral:rRNA from 1 species